GGCUCUGUGGUGCAAUUUACAGGACAUUGGACUUCUGUUGUAAAAUGUUAUUCAAAGGUUGUGGCUUCGAAUCCCACCAGAUUCA
rnacentral:tRNA from 1 species